rnacentral:rRNA from 1 species
UACGGAGGGGGCUAGCGUUGUUCGGAAUUACUGGGCGUAAAGCGCGCGUAGGCGGACCUGCAAGUCGGGGGUGAAAGCCCGAGGCUCAACCUCGGAACUGCCUUCGAUACUGCGGGUCUCGAGUCCGGGAGAGGUGAGUGGAAUUCCUAGUGUAGAGGUGAAAUUCGUAGAUAUUAGGAAGAACACCAGUGGCGAAGGCGGCUCACUGGCCCGGUACUGACGCUGAGGCGCGAAAAGCGUGGGGGAUCAAACAGG